rnacentral:rRNA from 1 species
UGGGGAUAUUGCACAAUGGGGCGAAAGCCUGAUGCAGCGACGCCGCGUGAGGGAAGACGGUUUUCGGAUUGUAAACCUCUGUCUUAAGGGAAGAAAAUGACGGUACCUUAAGAGGAAGCUCCGGCUAACUACGUGCCAGCAGCCGCGGUAAUACGUAGGGAGCGAGCGUUGUCCGGAAUUACUGGGUGUAAAGGGAGCGUAGGCGGGAGCGCAAGUUAAAUGUUUAAACUAUCGGCUCAACUGAUAGUCGCGUUUAAAACUGCGUUUCUUGAGUGAAGUAGAGGCAGGCGGAAUUCCUAGUGUAGCGGUGAAAUGCGUAGAUAUUAGGAGGAACACCAGUGGCGAAGGCGGCCUGCUGGGGCUUUAACUGAC